CUGUGGGCCGGGGUGGGGUCCCGGGGGUAGGGUGCACCUCGGGUGGGAGUUGGGUCCUCGAAGGAGGCGGGGAGCGAGCUAAUCCCGCGAACUCAGAUGAGUUUCCUAAUCGUUGAAAGUCCUUCAACGGGCCGUAUCCCCCAGCCCCGUGAACUCCAGGGCUCCGCUCACCCGAGCUUUUUUGGGAUGGGUUGCGGACAUUUCAGGGUUUCCCGUGUUCCCCUGGAAGAGUGCACGUAAGGACCGCACACAGUCCCCAAGUUCAGUGGGGUGCCCCCUGUCCCCUGGCAGAGUGCAGGUAAUGGACCUUGAGUAGCACCCCGAGUUCAGCAGGGUGUCCCCUCUUCCCCCAGGCACAGGUGUGGCGGUAACAAGCCCCAGAGCCGUCCUCCAACUUAGCAUUGUGCCCCAUGUUCCCCGGGUAUGGUGGUAAUGGGCUGUCAGGAUUGUGCGGGAGGGUCCUCCAGGUGGGGGCCUGGAGGCUGGAGUAAACUAGACCCUACUCAAGUUGCAUGAGGAACAGAUGAGUUGAGGUGUUGAUUUGGAAGAGUCAUUUCGCGUUUCCAAAAAUGUCAAAGUCAUUGGUCUACUUUAGAAUGAAGAUAAUUAGUACUUAAAAAACAAGUAUGUGUUUCCCCUUCUCCCAGAAACCGAAGCAGGUGUGCUUGCCAUAGGUCGGAGGUCCUACUUAUCCCCACCUGACAGCACUUCUCCCCUCUGGCUCCAUGAGACCCGAAGUUUUGAACAUCAGCAUGUGAGUCAGUGAUGCUGCUCGUCACAGGACGUCAGCAUUCAGAGAGAGCAGCAGGUCCAUUUGGCACAAUGUCAUCUUCAAGUCAGGACUGGAGUUUCUUUGGUGGUGGAGUCAGAAGGAGAGUGUUUGGGAAUUCUGGAUGGAGGCAUGCUGGUGUCAGGAGCACUGGGUUGAGUUCUGGAACUGCUUGCCUGAGCCUAGGUGCGUCAGGUUAUCCCACAGAGCUUCCGUUGACUCCUUAUGAAAUUGCUGGAAGGAGCAGGAUCUGUGGACUCCAGGGGUGAUGUGAGAAACCUCAGAAGCCUCCCUUGUCCGUGUUUCCCUCGUCUGUCCCGGUGCUCCAUUCCUUCCUAAGGCCUUGUCACCCGGACCAGAGCAGUGAAUCUGGAACCUCUUCCAAAUGGAGACCCGGAGGCUGCAACAAGGAGGGUCUUGGCCUUGGUCCCCAGACUAGUGGUCAGUGCUCUGCCAUGUUCUGCGUACCCAGGUCCUCAGCCCCCCAAGUCCCCAGUCUGUCCCCUGCUCAGAAGGACCUCGAGGGAGUACAAAGCAUUUUCCCAGGACUGGGAGCACAGUGGGUCGGGGAUGGAGAUCCAAGGCCAAUAGGCUCUUCCACAAGCCUGUGGGACCCUAGGGACACUGCAUCUCUACAGCCCAAGUGACAGAAGAGUAAGCUGAGGCCUUUGUGCUGUAGCCCCUCUGGACUUGGGGGUGGGUAUCUCUUCCUGCUUCCAAGUGCCCAGGCUGGUGAUGGACACCGGAACCCAGACCCUGUCCUCUCCCAGUGCCCUGGCAACCCUUCGGGGCCCCUUGGGGACCCCUGACCCUCAGCCUGGCCUGUCUCCCCUCCCCAUGCUAUGGAUCUGGGUCCUUGCCAGGAGUCCUGAUGCCCUGCCCCAUGGCCCAGCUGUCUGCAACCUGUUUCUUCUUUCCCCCCUGUCACCCACCUCGCUCCCAGGGUGUCCUCCCCUUCUGACCCCCAGCUGGGCAGUCAGAGUGGUGUGUGUGUGGGUGUGUGUGUGUGUGGGGGGGUGUGUGCAGCUGCACGUGCCUCUACGUGCCUGGGGAUGCCAAGGUCAUGUCCCCACAUGGAACGGGGUGGGUAGCUCUUCCCGAGGAUCUGAGUGGCUCUCACCCCCAAAGCAAACCUCAUGGGAGGGUUGGGACUGGCCUAGGACUGGAGAGCAGCUCCUUGGACUCUGCACCCCUCAGUUGUCCUGGGCCAGUCCCUGCCUCUCUUGACCCAGGUUCCCAACUGUCCCUGAGGGUCGGACAUGGAAAGGCUUGAACGUGGCUGCUCCUCCAGGGGUAGGUGGGGGACAGGUGCACCAG